rnacentral:rRNA from 1 species
CCUACGGGCGGCAGCAGUGAGGAAUAUUGGUCAAUGGACGAGAGUCUGAACCAGCCAAGUAGCGUGAAGGAUGACUGCCCUAUGGGUUGUAAACUUCUUUUAUAUGGGAAUAAAAUGUUCCACGUGUGGGAUUUUGUAUGUACCAUAUGAAUAAGGAUCGGCUAACUCCGUGCCAGCAGCCGCGGUAAUACGGAGGAUCCGAGCGUUAUCCGGAUUUAUUGGGUUUAAAGGGAGCGUAGGUGGGUGGUUAGGUCAGUUGUGAAAGUUUGCGGCUCAACCGUAAAAUUGCAGUUGAAACUGGCAGUCUUGAGUACAGUAGAGGUGGGCGGAAUUCGUGGUGUAGCGGUGAAAUGCUUAGAUAUCACGAAGAACUCCGAUUGCGAAGGCAGUUCACUGGACUGCAACUGACACUGAGGCUCGAAAGUGUGGGUAUCAAACAGGAUUAGAUACCCUAGUAGUC